GUCAGUUCAACAGUCAGAGCUUCCCGGCUGAGGCAGCCACCUGCUCUGUCUGAGGAUCUCAUGGUGGGAGGGAGCAGACUGGGCUGUUCGUGAAAUUCAAGGAGGUAUGGUGGUGGUGGCAGGGGGCUUUAAAGGCACUGAAAAAGAAGCUUCUUUAAACACCAGUGCCCCAAGCUCUGGCUGAGCCAGCCUUUAUUGAGAGUUGGGAACUGUAUGAGUGUAGAAUCAGAAACUGGGUUGCAUGCCUUCCUCCAGCCUGACCAGCUGUGUGAACUCAGGGCAUUUGGACUCAGAACAUUCACUGCCUCAGGGGACAGACGACCCACCAGAAGUUAGAAGUUGGUUCUUGUCUUCUGAGUGUCAAACACUGAUGCCUGUGUAUGUGUGGGAGCAGGGGUGGUGGUGAAAGAACCAAAUAUUUGGAAGAUGCAGGAUGCUCCAAGUCCCCAGACAAGACGAUGCUUCCUCGGCUGAGGGAAGGUGGAGUGAUGGGAGGAACGUGGGGGUGCGUGUUGGAGAUGGGCCAUGUGCUUGCCCUGACCCCUCCCUGUUUUCUACUGAAAUAGGUUUGGAGGAUCUGGGAACAGAGAGGACCUCCCCGUCCCCAGGCUAGAGGCUGAGGAGUUGGAAAAGACUCCAGUCUAUUCCCAGAGCAAGUGUAGCAUUGACUGCCUGGAGACUCAGAACACAGUCCUAGGGCAGCCUUGAGUCUUCUGGGGCUGGGCCAACUCCUCCGCCCACCAGCUAAGCCUCACCCUGGAGGCAAGAGUAACCAAUCCACCCAAUUCCCCUGCUGCUGGACCCCUCCUGGACUACCAGGUGGGCUAUGCACCUUUUGUUUUGGGGAGGAAAAUGUUUAUCUGAGUUUGUUUUUUUUACACAAGCAUAUUAGUCACUGAAGCUCUUUGGGCUUGGCUUCUGCUGCUGCUCGGUCCGACUCUUUGCGACCCCAUGGACUGUAGUCUGCCAGGCUCCUCCAUCCAUGGGAUUUUCCAGGCAAGAGUACUGAAGUGGGCUGCCAUUUCCUUCUCCAGGGGAUCUUCCCUAUCCAGGGAUUCAACCCAGGUCUCCUGCUUUGCAGGCAGAUUCUUUACCAGUUGAGCCACAAGGGAAGCCCAAGAAUACUGGAGUUGGUAGCCUAUCCCUUCUCCAGCAGAUCUUCCAGACCCAGGAAUUGAACUCGGGUCUCUCGCAUUGCAGUCAGAUUCUUUUACCAGCUGAGUCACAAAGAGAAUACUGCGUUACUGCAGUGGCCACUUCCCUGCUCUGCCCAGCCAGGAGCAUCCUGUUAAACAUCAGUCAGGUCUUGUCAUCCCUCCGCUUAAAGUCCUCUGAAGGCUGCCUUCUCACUCAGAACAAAAGCCGGUGCCUUAACCCACAAAGCUGAUGGGAUCUGGCCCUUCACACCCCCUACCAUCUCUUCCUAACCUAACUCCUCCUCCUUCCUCAUCCUGAGGUACCACUGACACUCCUGCCCCAGGGCCUUUGCACUUUCUAGUCCCUCUGCCUGGCACUCUCUGCUCCUGAGAUCCAAGCCCUCCUCCAGGGGAUCUUCCCAACCCAGGGAUCUAACCCAAGUCUCCCGAGGCUCCUGCAUAGAAGGCAGAAUUUUUACCGCUGAGCCAUAGGGGAUGCCCCACCCCUUGAGCCCCGCAGCACCUGACAUGGUUUUCUGACAGCCAGACAUGCCCUGGGCUGCUGCCCCCUCCUCUUACCUGCCCCUGCCCAUGCCCUGAAAGGUGAAAGAGAACCACUGUCCGUGUUCCCUGAGGAACUUGUCUUCUUGCAGUGCCCAUCGAAACUGGCCUAAAGCUUGCUGGCUGGAGAUCACUUACAGAAAGAUCUUUGGGAAUUAACACAUUCUUAUGGCCAGGGAAUUCAGCUUGCAAUUGAGAAUGAAGAGAUGCUGUGCUUAACACAAUGGAAGAUGUGCUAAUGGCGGACUUCUGGCAUUGGACAGUGGACAGGUCACCAAUAAAGAGCGAACCUGCAAAAUCCAUCCUCAACCCCAGGUCCUCUCUCUCUCUCUCUCUCUUCCUGUGACCUUAUCCUGUGGCCCUGAGCGUGACAUGUGCC
ensembl:lncRNA